rnacentral:rRNA from 1 species
CAACGCUGAUGCGUUGUUGGGUAGGGGAGCGUUCUGUAAGCCUGUGAAGGUGGCCUGUGAGGGUUGCUGGAGGUAUCAGAAGUGCGAAUGCUGACAUAAGUAACGAUAAAGCGGGUGAAAAGCCCGCUCGCCGGAAGACCAAGGGUUCCUGUCCAACGUUAAUCGGGGCAGGGUGAGUCGACCCCUAAGGCGAGGCCGAAAGGCGUAGUCGAUGGGAAACGGGUUAAUAUUCCCGUACUUGGUGUUACUGCGAAGGGGGGACGGAGAAGGCUAUGUUGGCCGGGCGACGGUUGUCCCGGUUUAAGCGUGUAGGUGUGUGUUCCAGGUAAAUCCGGUUCACUUUAACACUGAGGCGUGAU